GACAGAGGAUGCAAGCGUUAUCCGGAAUGAUUGGGCGUAAAGCGUCUGUAGGUGGCUUUUUAAGUCCGCCGUCAAAUCCCAGGGCUCAACCCUGGACAGGCGGUGGAAACUACCAAGCUGGAGUACGGUAGGGGCAGAGGGAAUUUCCGGUGGAGCGGUGAAAUGCGUAGAGAUUGGAAAGAACACCAAUGCGGAAGACACUUACUGGCUAGUCGACUGCACUGAGAGACGAAAGCUAGGGUAGCAAUGGG
rnacentral:rRNA from 1 species